rnacentral:rRNA from 1 species
UGGGGAAUAUUGCACAAUGGGCGCAAGCCUGAUGCAGCCAUGCCGCGUGUGUGAAGAAGGCCUUCGGGUUGUAAAGCACUUUCAGCGAGGAGGAAGGUGGUGAGCUUAGUACGCUCAUCAAUUGACGUUACUCGCAGAAGAAGCACCGGCUAACUCCGUGCCAGCAGCCGCGGUAAUACGGAGGGUGCAAGCGUUAAUCGGAAUUACUGGGCGUAAAGCGCACGCAGGCGGUUUGUUAAGUCAGNUGUGAAAUCCCCGGGCUCAACCUGGGAACUGCAUUUGAAACUGGCAAGCUAGAGUCUCGUAGAGGGGGGUAGAAUUCCAGGUGUAGCGGUGAAAUGCGUAGAGAUCUGGAGGAAUACCGGUGGCGAAGGCGGCCCCCUGGACGAAGACUGACGCUCAGGUGCGAAAGCGUGGGGCAGCAAACAGGAUUAGAUACCCUGGUAGUCCACGCUGUAAACGAUGUCGAUUUUGGAGGUUGUGCCCUUGAGGCGUGGCUUCCGGAGCUAACGCGUUAAAUCGACCGCCUGGGGGAGUACGGCCGCAAGGUUAAAACUCAAAUGAAUUGGACGGGGUC